rnacentral:rRNA from 1 species
GACUCCUACGGGAGGCAGCAGUGGGGAAUCUUGCACAAUGGGCGAAAGCCUGAUGCAGCCAUGCCGCGUGAAUGAUGAAGGCCCUAGGGUUGUAAAAUUCUUUCAUCAGGGACGAUAAUGACGGUACCUGAAGAAGAAGCCCCGGCUAACUUCGUGCCAGCAGCCGCGGUAAUACGAAGGGGGCUAGCGUUGUUCGGAAUUACUGGGCGUAAAGCGCGCGUAGGCGGACUAUUAAGCCAGAUGUGAAAUCUCGGGGCUCAACCUCGGAACUGCAUUUGGAACUGGUAGUCUAGAGGCCAGGAGAGGUUAGUGGAAUGCCGAGUGUAGAGGUGAAAUUCGUAGAUAUUCGGUGGAACACCAGUGGCGAAGGCGACUGACUGGACUGGUACUGACGCUGAGGUGCGAAAGUGUGGGGAGCAAACAGGAUUAGAUACCCUGGUAGUCCACACCGUAAACGAUGAGUGCUAGUUGUCGGCAGGCAUGCCUGUCGGUGACGCAGCUAACGCAUUAAGCACUCCGCCUGGGGAGUACGGCCGCAAGGUUAAAACUCAAAGAAAUUGACGGGGGCCCGCACAAGCGGUGGAGCAUGUGGUUUAAUUCGAAGCAACGCGCAGAACCUUACCUACCCUUGACAUGCCCGGUUUGGUCGCCAGAGAUGGCUUCCUUGAUUCGUUCGCCGGUGCACAGGUGCUGCAUGGCUGUCG